AACGAACGCUGGCGGCAGGCCUAACACAUGCAAGUCGAGCGCGCCCUUCGGGGUGAGCGGCGGACGGGUGAGUAACGCGUGGGAACGUGCCCUUCUCUGCGGAAUAGCCUCGGGAAACUGAGAGUAAUACCGCAUACGCCCUUUGGGGGAAAGAUUUAUCGGAGAAGGAUCGGCCCGCGUUGGAUUAGGUAGUUGGUGGGGUAAUGGCCCACCAAGUCGACGAUCCAUAGCUGGUUUGAGAGGAUGAUCAGCCACACUGGGACUGAGACACGGCCCAGACUCCUACGGGAGGCAGCAGUGGGGAAUCUUAGACAAUGGGGGCAACCCUGAUCUAGCCAUGCCGCGUGAGUGAUGAAGGCCUUAGGGUUGUAAAGCUCUUUCAGCUGGGAAGAUAAUGACGGUACCAGCAGAAGAAGCCCCGGCUAACUCCGUG
rnacentral:rRNA from 1 species